UACGGAGGGGGCUAGCGUUGUUCGGAAUUACUGGGCGUAAAGCGCACGUAGGCGGCUUUGCAAGUUAGAGGUGAAAGCCCGGGGCUCAACUCCGGAAUUGCCUUUAAAACUGCAUCGCUAGAAUUGUGGAGAGGUAAGUGGAAUUCCGAGUGUAGAGGUGAAAUUCGUAGAUAUUCGGAAGAACACCAGUGGCGAAGGCGGCUCACUGGACCGGUAUUGACGCUGAGGUGCGAAAGCGUGGGGAGCAAACAGG
rnacentral:rRNA from 1 species